rnacentral:lncRNA from 1 species
GGAAUUUCAUUUCAGCAUGGUCAUUUAUGUUUUGCCUUCUUUCAGGUUCUGUUCAGGUUUGUUAAAGCCCCUCUGCUGAACAGCUCUGCUCCUUGAGUUUUUCCAUGGUUUUCCAAGUUUCUUCUUUUCUGUCACUGUUGCCUGUCAUGUCUCGCUGCCUAACUCUGCGUAUCUCUAUGAACUUCCAUCUCCAUUGCCACCUGGGGUUGGGUAAUGCUGUUAAUUGCAUACUGUGUGAAGGAACAGUAAACAGGAGCCAAGCGAGUCUUCGGGAGGCUUUUCUAACAGUGAAGUGGAUCAAUGUUGCUAUGUUAUUUUAGUGGCUCUGCUACUUCCUCUGACUUACUUCCUGAU